rnacentral:miRNA from 10 species
UGUCUAUGGCCAUUCCACCCUGAAUGCACCUGAUCCUGUCUGAUCUCAGAAGCUAAGCAGGGUUGGGCCUGGUUAGUACUUGGAUGGG